ACAGCAGCCGCCACGGUAAUACGAAGGGGGCUAGCGUUGUUCGGAAUUACUGGGCGUAAAGCGCACGUAGGCGGAUAUUUAAGUCAGGGGUGAAAUCCCGCAGCUCAACUGCGGAACUGCCUUUGAUACUGGGUAUCUUGAGUAUGGAAGAGGUUAGUGGAAUUGCGAGUGUAGAGGUGAAAUUCGUAGAUAUUCGCAGGAACACCAGUGGCGAAGGCGGCUAACUGGUCCAUAACUGACGCUGAGGUGCGAAAGCGUGGGGAGCAAACAGGAUUAGAUACCCCGGUAGUCCCUGUCUCUUAUAA
rnacentral:rRNA from 1 species